ACGAUCUUCAUCAAGGACACGAUCUCAUCUCAAUUCUUUAUAUCAUCGUAGAAAUUUUAUAGAUUCCCUGUGAGAUUCCAUCGGCUUUUGACAUCACUGCUUAAUAGUUAAUUCCCUUCUUUAUCUCCCACAAACACAAUAUAGAGUUUGCGGUGGUAAUGAUGCUCCAUUCUCAAUAUUCUUGCUUAUCAAUAGGUUCAAACACUUCUAUUUCCUUGCAAAUCAUUUAUUGUCGUAUCUGAUUUAGAUUUAUGUAUUCUUUUCCCUUGCUCUGUUAUUUUUUUAUUUUUGUUUUUUAGAUACAUAUUUUGUUUAAGCUUGCUUAGAACAUAUGGUUUGUGUUUUCUUAAUUUUGUUUCUUUCCACUGCAGGUUAAUUUUUUCUUUCCCCUUUCAUCGACAAUUAACAACCGACGUAGAAGGUAUAUCUUCUUUGCUUACAAUCUCCCAUAGUAGCCAUUUUCUUAACAUAUUCAAAUUUUAUGUUGUUUAUAGUGGUUUAAAGUUUGUGGAAUGUAUUUUGCUUUCUUGCAGGUUUGUUAAAACACAUAAUUUUUCCACUGUAUGUUCCUU
rnacentral:lncRNA from 1 species